ACCCAGAUUUUGCCACAUCUUUGCUGAAAGAUUCCCCCCCUCUCUCUCUCUCUCUCGCUAACCCCUCUCUCUCCCCAUCGCCCCUACCCAUGCCGGCCGGCUCCGGCCGCCGCACGCCCCCGAGCUCCCCAAGAUCCGCGCCUCCAACCCUCCGUACAGAUCCGGUGCUCAAAGUCUCCACCCUCCCCUGCCGCUAGGAUUCGGGCUAGGGUUCUGCCGCCAUGGCCUAGCGCACCCUCGCCAUCGACCUCCCCAAGCCCCCUCUCUCCGCCGAACGAGGAGGCCCCUGCCGCGAGCCCCUCCUCUUCCCUGUCUCGCCGGCCUUGUUCUCUGCCGCUCUCCUCGUUGGCCAUCGCUCCAGAUCGCGGAGGAGGAUCUGCUGCCGGAUCCGCGCAAUUGAGAGUGAGGAGGACGAAGGUGAGGGAAGCAGCAGCAAGGAUGGUGGCUGGUGAUGGGUCAGGGGCCACCAGAGGAGGGGGAACCUGCUUCUCUCCUUCCAUACUUGAUAGCUCACCAAAUUAGUCUGAAUAUAGCAAGGUUCAGUGAGUAGUGCGUGCCCUCGGGGCUGGACGAGGCAGAGAUGUGCCGAGGAUCCGCACACACUUGGUCGUCAUCUUCUCCGCCUCAACUUCCUUGACGGCACCUGGCCUUGAGCUCCAGCCAUAGCAGAUUGCCCCCCAGCCUGCUCCAUGUAGGUUUUAAAGCGAAAAAUUGAAGAAGUUGUGAUGGCCACAAAAAGACAGAAAGAUUUGCACGAAGCGAAGACGUCCACCCGGUAUACAUAUGGUUAGAAGCUACCUUGAUGUAAACUACUGAAGAUGAACUUGAAGUUGCUGCAAAGGCAUACAAAUUAUUCACACUAUGAAUGACAAUUACGAAAGAUGACGCUUGUCAUGGACCCUCGGGCUGUGGCAAAACCACCCUUUUGCUGGCACUUGUUGGAAAGCUCAACAAAGAUCUCAAGGUAUCCCCGUCGGUCGGCGUCGUCUGUUGUUAAUUCUAUAUUUUUGUGUUGCUAUGAGCUCUAUGUAUGUAGAUCUGAAAUUUCACGCAGAGAACAUUGUGUGCGGCAUAUUUCACUACUUUCUUCGCUCACAAAAAUACUAUUACCACUAAGGCUCUAUGUAUGUAGAUGUCUCACAAAUUGAGGUUGGUUAUAUCUGCCUUAUGCUACAAUUUUUUUUGCAUUAUUCAUUUUCUUGUUAUUCAGUUCUGAGCUUCCAUGGUGACGACCUCUUAUUCAGUAUUAAGUCUUCUCAUUCUUCAUUCAUCAGUCGUCAAUUUUCAGUCUUCAGUCUCCAUGUUUUAUUAUUUAGUAGUGUUUUUAGCCAUCAACAUCCAUGUAUUCUCUACUUUCAGCCUUGUUAGUUGUUAGUAUCACUAUGUAUCGAUAAUCCUCAUUGUCCAUUCAUCAGUUAUAAUUUAUAAUUAAUUUGCCUUGCUAUUAAUCAUUUUCCAGUUUUCAUAUCAUUUUUCAUUUAUCAGUCUUGUUAUUCGCUAUGUCGAUUUCAGUAUCUCAGUGAUUACUCUUCACUUUUUUUCAGUUUGUCCAUGAUAAUUUUGGCGAGAAGGCAUUGCAGGUUGGGCCGCUGGAAUGGGAAGUUGCUUCUCCUGUUGCUACAUGGUUGAUAUAGGUCUUGCAAUGGGCAUGUCAGGGACAGAAGUUGCUAAAGAAAGCUCCAACAUUAUAAUCUUGGAUGAUGACUUCACAUCUGUUGUGAAGGUUAUAUGGUUUGUACAUGGCGGUGUUACUGAACAGAAGGAGGUAAUUUCUUCGCUCUUUCUAUUGAUUAAUAUUGUUCUUCACUCUUUCUAAACUAUUGAAUUUAUUAAUAUUAUUCUUGCCUAACCUCACAAAACUUUGGUAUGCACUCACGUAUAAUCAGGGCUUGCUUAUUUUAAUUCUUGAAUUAAUUUUUAUAAAUAUUAUAUCAUUAUUAUUUGUAAUCAGUUUUUCGUUUAUGAUUUCCAAUUGGGUAAUAUCCCAUCAUACUACUAGGCAUUGGCCAGGUACUAGACUUUGCCUGGUUGUCAAUAUAAGCUCUGUGUUCUCCUUUGUUUUUACCUCAUUUAUAAAGUCCUUGAUUGAGCAUGCAUUUGAUUUCUAUGCCAACUUAGAUCUUAUUGCUCAUCAAAGGUAUCUAAAAGUUGUGUGCUCUGCAACAGAUGGGUUAUUUUAGUCAAUAGAAAUACCUCGUAUGUCAGUUUUGUUGCCAAAUAUUGUAAACACAGAUAUAUACAGAGUUCCUAGAACAGAUGAUGAUCUGGUAGUUACCUUUCUGUUAUUUACUUGAAUGACUGUACGUAUAUCUUACCUUCAGACUUUAUCCGAUCUUGGUUAAUUUUCCAUCUCCAAUCAGAUUAAUGGUUUGCAUGCAGACCAAGCCCAGUGUUUUAUGGUGUUCUUAUUCCUGAUUUAGUUGUACAUUUGACUUUUAGUUUCUUUGUAGAUAAUAAAGUAGUGGCAGAUGAACCGGUAAGUUAUCUGUGCCCAUGCUUUGCUGUAAGCAUUAAAUUUGCUCUCUGCUUUUAGUUUCGAUGUGUUAUCCGUACCCCUUCUUUUUGUGGCUAAUUAUUAUGUCCUAUCAACAUAUGCAGAGUCCAUGGUAUCAUACGAUUUGAAGUUGAAAAAUUCAUGCUAUGGGUGAUACAGAGAAGUCAUUGGCUUCUUUGCUGGAACAUUUCCUAAGAUGAUCUAAGGUGAAGCAGUUAUGAAUAUCCUCGCUGAUCUAUGGAUCUAUCAUUGUAAGAGUCGAUGGUAUAUGGUGAGGUGCCUCACACCAUCAUUUGGUCUUUGUAGCAUUUGAGUUGGCAAAUUUGUUGGAUUCAUGCGAUUAGGCAUGAGCUGGAGGAAGAAGUUGUGAGGCGUGGAGCUCAGGGACAACAGUGAGGACAAUGCCUCUUUAGUUGUAAUUGUGAUACUCCUGAUGUGCAAGUAAACACUCCUGUGAUACUCCUUAUGAUAAAAUGUUGGUUGUUAGUACAGAGGUGGUGAUUUCAUGAUUUGUGGUUAAUACAUGAUGUAAUACAAUCCACAUUGCAUAAUAUUUCCAUUUA